rnacentral:misc_RNA from 1 species
GAUGAAGAACGUAGUGAAAUGCGAUAAGUAAUGUGAAUUGCAGAAUUCAGUGAAUCAUCGAAUCUUUGAACGCACCUUGCGCCCUUUGGCCAUUCCGAAGGGCAUGCCUGUUUGAGUAUCAUGAACACCUCAACUCUUCAUGGUUUUCCAUGAUGAGCUUGGACUUUGGGGGUCUUGCUGGCCUGUGGGUCGGCUCCUCUCAAAUGAAUCAGCUUGCCGGUUUUUGGUGGGCAUCACAGGUGUGAUAACUAUCUACGCUUGUGGUUUUCCACCAGGGUAACCUUCAGCAGUGGAGGUUCACUGGAGCUUACAAAUGUCUCUCCUCUGUGAGGACAGCCCUUUGAAUGUUUGAUCUCAAAUCAGGUAGGACUACCCGCUGAACUUAAGCAUAUCAAUAGCGGAGGA